rnacentral:rRNA from 1 species
GCCUUCAUGAAGCUGGAAUUGCUAGUAAUGGCAGGUCAGCAUACUGCCGUGAAUACGUUCCCGGGCCUUGUACACACCGCCCGUCACACCAUGAGAGUUGGAAAUACCCGAAGCCUGUGAGCUAACUUAAAGAGGCAGCAGUCGAAGGUAGAGCCAAUGAUUGGGGUGAAGUCGUAACAAGGUAUC